CCACAAAAGUCACGUCACUGGGUAGCCUGGAUCUGGGUGAUUUUCGGAUAUAUUGUUCCCCCAGAUCCAGGCUACCCAGGGAUGUGACUUUUGUGGGGUUCCC